UCUUAAACCCGACAGUAGCAGAAAUACUUUUUGUAGUUCCUUCGACAGGCUCAGGAUGAAAAUGACAAAAGAUUGUAGCGUAUGGCGGGACUAUCG
rnacentral:sRNA from 1 species